rnacentral:tRNA from 1 species
GUCCCCGUAGCUCAGCGGACAGAGCAACCGCCUUCUAAGCGGUAGGUCGAAGGUUCGAACCCUUCCGGGGACGCCA